UUCCCCUAGUAACUGCGAGUGAAGCGGGAAAAGCUCAAAUUUAAAAUCUGGCGGUCUUUGGCCGUCCGAGUUGUAAUCUAGAGAAGUGUUACCCGCGUCGGACCGUGUACAAGUCUCCUGGAAUGGAGCGUCAUAGAGGGUGAGAAUCCCGUCUUUGACACGGACUACCGAGGCUUUGUGGUGCGCUCUCAAAGAGUCGAGUUGUUUGGGAAUGCAGCCCAAAAUGGGUGGUAAAUUCCAUCUAAAGCUAAAUAUUGGCGAGAGACCGAUAGCGAACAAGUACCGUGAGGGAAAGAUGAAAAGAACUUUGGAAAGAGAGUUAAACAGUACGUGAAAUUGCUGAAAGGGAAACGCUUGAAGUCAGUCGCGUCCUCCGGGAAUCAGCCUUCCUUCUGGUUGGUGUACUUCCUGGUGGACGGGCCAGCAUCAGUUUUGACCGGUGGAAAAAGUUGGAGGGAAUGUGGCACCUUCGGGUGUGUUAUAGCCUUCCUUCGUAUACAUCGAUUGGGACCGAGGAACUCAGCACGCCGCAAGGCCGGGAUUCGUCCACGUUCGUGCUUAGGAUGCUGGCAUAAUGGCUUUAAUCGACCCGUCUUGAAACACGGACCAAGGAGUCUAACAUGCCUGCGAGUGUUUGGGUGGAAAACCCGAGCGCGUAAUGAAAGUGAAAGUUGAGAUCCCUGUCAUGGGGAGCAUCGACGCCCGGACCAGACGUUUUCUGACGGUUCUGCGGUAGAGCAUGUAUGUUGGGACCCGAAAGAUGGUGAACUAUGCCUGAAUAGGGUGAAGCCAGAGGAAACUCUGGUGGAGGCUCGUAGCGAUUCUGACGUGCAAAUCGAUCGUCAAAUUUGGGUAUAGGGGCGAAAGACU
rnacentral:rRNA from 1 species